GUAGUCAUAUGCUUGUCUCAAAGAUUAAGCCAUGCAUGUCUAAGUAUAAACAACUUUAUACUGUAAAACUGCGAACGGCUCAUUACAUCAGCAAUAAUUUAUUUGAUGAUUUCUUACUACAUGGAUAACUGUAGUAAUUCUAGAGCUAAUACAUGCGCAAAGUCCUGACUCGCGAGGGGAGGGAUGUAUUUAUUAGAUACAAAACCAAUGCGGGUUCUGCUCGCCAUUGUGUUGAAUCAUAGUAACUUAUCGAACGCCAUAGCCUUGUGCUGGGCGUAGAUCAUUCAAAUUUCUGCCCUAUCAGCUUUCGACGGUAGUGUAGUGGACUACCGUGGCGUUAACGGGUAACGGGGAAUA
rnacentral:rRNA from 1 species